UACGAAGGGUGCAAGCGUUACUCGGAAUUACUGGGCGUAAAGCGUGCGUAGGUGGUUUGUUAAGUCUGUUGUGAAAGCCCCGGGCUCAACCCGGGAAGUGCACUCGAUACUGUCGAGCUAGAGUAUCGGAGAGGUUGGUGGAAUUCUCGGUGUAGAGGUGAAAUUCGUAGAUAUCGAGAGGAACACCGGUGGCGAAGGCGGCCAACUGGACGAAUACUGACGCUGAGACUCGAAAGCGUGGGGAGCAAACAGG
rnacentral:rRNA from 1 species